GACGAACGCUGGCGGCGUGCUUAACACAUGCAAGUCGAACGGAAAGGCCCUGCUUUUGUGGGGUGCUCGAGUGGCGAACGGGUGAGUAACACGUGAGUAACCUGUCAUUGACUUUGGGAUAACUUCAGGAAACUGGGGCUAAUACCGGAUAGGAGCUCCUGCUGCAUGGUGGGGGUUGGAAAGUUUCGGCGGUUGGGGAUGGACUCGCGGCCUAUCAGCUUGUUGGGGGGGUAGUGGCUUACCAAGGCUUUGACGGGUAGCCGGCCUGAGAGGGUGACCGGCCACGUUGGGACGGAGAUGCGGCCCGGACUCCUACGGGAGGCAGCAGUGGAGAAUAGUGCACAAUGGGCGGAAGCCUGAUGCAGCAACGCCGCGUGCGGGAUGACAGCCUGCGGGUUGUAAACCGCUUUCGCCUGUGACGAAGCGUGAGUGACGGUAAUGGGUAAAGAAGCACCGGCUAACUACGUG
rnacentral:rRNA from 1 species